rnacentral:piRNA from 1 species
UGGGGCUGUGGCUUAGGAUUCAGGCUGA